GGCAUAUAUAUAUAUAUAGGACAUAUAUAAAUGAAUAUCUACAUACAAUUUUUGUUUUAAAUUACCUGUACAUUAACUGAGGCAUCAACCAGUCGUAAAAGUGUUGUUAUGGACAUAACGGUAAACGUGCUGGUCGGGACUUAUUAAUAUUUAUUGGAAGGGACGAAUCCACAUCCACGUGUGUGUGGGUUUAGACCGAGAUAUACCCCCACGUGGAACUUUCGUAGGCUCCUUAGAUAUUGUGGAGAUCCUGGCAGGACUGUGCGGUUGUCACGUCUCACAGAUAACCGCCGGGAAGAGUGGCGGAAACGAUUAUUGUUCCAUCUUGACUGGUCCGUAGAUUCGGUAAAUAUCUGAACCCCCAAACCACGAUACACGUAUGGUUCCAAUUGUCUGAAUAUCG